rnacentral:rRNA from 1 species
CAUUACAACAGCCAUAGUUUAUUGGAUGUUUACGUUCCUACAUGGACACCUGCGGUAAUUCUGGAGCUAAUACAUGCACAAGCCGACGACCUUACGGAAGUCGCGCAUUUGUUAGAUCAAACCAAUCGGUCCUCCGGGACCGUAAUUUGAUGACUCUGAACAACUUAGCUGACCGCACAGUCUCGUACUGGCGGCAUAUCUUUCAAGUGUCUGCCUUAUCAACUUUCGUUGGUAGUUUAUACGACUACCAAGGUUGUAACGGGUAACGGAGAAUAAGGGUUCGACUCCGGAGAGGGAGCCUGAGAAACGGCUACCACAUCCAAGGAAGGCAGCAGGCGCGCAAAUUACCCACUCGCAGAACGCGGAGGUAGUGACGAAAAAUAACGAGGUGGCUCUCUAUGAGGUCCAUCAUCGGAAUGGGUACAAUUUAAAUCCUUUAACGAGGAUCUAUUGGAGGGCAAGUCUGGUGCCAGCAGCCGCGGUAAUUCCAGCUCCAAUAGCGUAUACUAAAGUUGUUGCGGUUAAAAAGCUCGUAGUUGGAUCUGCGCUCUGUGAGAGCGGUCGCUCGCUGAGUUGUACUGUCUCUCACGGGCUAACCAUUCGGUUUUCCCUUGAUGCUCUUCAUUGAGUGUCCUGGGUGACCGAAACGUUUACUUUGAAAAAAUUAGAGUGCUCAAAGCAGGCGAUUUGCCCGAAUAUUCGUGCAUGGAAUAAUAAAAGAGGUCCUUGUAGCCUUUUAUUGGUUAUCGCUACGAGGAAAUGAUCGAAGGGGACAGACGGGGGCAUUUGUAUUGCGACGUUAGAGGUGAAAUUCUUGGAUCGUCGCAAGACAAACUACUGCGAAAGCAUUUGCCAAGAAUGUUUUCAUCAAUCAAGAACGAAAGUCUGAGGUUCGACAGCGAUCAG